rnacentral:rRNA from 1 species
UCUCCUGGAAACGGGUGGUAAUGCCGGAUGUUCCACAUGAGCGCAUGCGAGUGUGGGAAAGGCUUUUUGCGGCAUGGGAUGGGGUCGCGUCCUAUCAGCUUGUUGGUGGGGUAACGGCCUACCAAGGCGUUGACGGGUAGCCGGCCUGAGAGGGCGACCGGCCACAUUGGGACUGAGAUACGGCCCAGACUCCUACGGGAGGCAGCAGUGGGGAAUAUUGCACAAUGGGCGCAAGCCUGAUGCAGCGACGCCGCGUGCGGGAUGGAGGCCUUCGGGUUGUAAACCGCUUUUGUUCAAGGGCAAGGCACGGUUUCGGCCGUGUUGAGUGGAUUGUUCGAAUAAGCACCGGCUAACUACGUGCCAGCAGCCGCGGUAAUACGUAGGGUGCAAGCGUUAUCCGGAUUUAUUGGGCGUAAAGGGCUCGUAGGCGGUUCGUCGCGUCCGGUGUGAAAGUCCAUCGCCUAACGGUGGAUCCGCGCCGGGUACGGGCGGGCUUGAGUGCGGUAGGGGAGACUGGAAUUCCCGGUGUAACGGUGGAAUGUGUAGAUAUCGGGAAGAACACCA